UGUCUAGUAUAGCAUUAUACGGCGAAACUGCGAAUGGCUCAUUAUAUAAGUUAUCGUUUAUUUGAUAGCACAUUACUACUUGGAUAACCGUGGUAAUUCUAGAGCUAAUACAUGCUAAAAAUCCCGACUUCGGAAGGGAUGUAUUUAUUAGAUUAAAAACCAAUGCCCUCUGGGCUCUCUGGUGAAUCAUGAUAACUGCUCGAAUCGCAGGGCCUCGUGCCGGCGAUGGUUCAUUCAAAUUUCUUCCCUAUCAACUUUCGAUGUUUGGGUAUUGGCCAAACAUGGUUACAACGGGUAACGGAGGGUUAGGGCUCGACCCCGGAGAAGGAGCCUGAGAGACGGCUACUACAUCCAAGGAAGGCAGCAGGCGCGCAAAUUACCCAAUCCCGACACGGGGAGGUAGUGACAAUAAAUACUGAUACAGGGCUCUUUCGGGUCUUGUAAUUGGAAUGAGUACAAUUUAAAUCCCUUAACGAGGAACAAUUGGAGGGCAAGUCUGGUGCCAGCAGCCGCGGUAAUUCCAGCUCCAAUAGCGUAUAUUAAAGUUGUUGUGGUUAAAAAGCUCGUAGUUGAACCUUGGGCCUGGCUGGCCGGUCCGCCUCACCGCGUGUACUGGUCCGGCCGGGCCUUUCCCUCUGUGGAACCCCAUGCCCUUCACUGGGCGUGGCGGGGAAACAGGACUUUUACUUUGAAAAAAUUAGAGUGCUCCAGGCAGGCCUAUGCUCGAAUACAUUAGCAUGGAAUAAUAGAAUAGGACGUGCGGUUCUAUUUUGUUGGUUUCUAGGACCGCCGUAAUGAUUAAUAGGGACAGUCGGGGGCAUCAGUAUUCAAUUGUCAGAGGUGAAAUUCUUGGAUCUAUUGAAGACUAACUACUGCGAAAGCAUUUGCCAAGGAUGUUUUCAUUAAUCACGAACGAAAGUUAGGGGAUCGAAGACGAUCAGAUACCGUCGUAGUCUUAACCAUAAACUAUGCCGACUAGGGAUCGGACGAUGUUAUUUUUUGACUCGUUCGGCACCUUACGAGAAAUCAAAGUGCUUGGGCUCCAGGGGGGAGUAUG
rnacentral:rRNA from 1 species